CGCCCAGACUCCUACGGGAGGCAGCAGUGGGGAAUAUUGGGCAAUGGGCGCAAGCCUGACCCAGCGACGCCGCGUGAGGGAAGACGGUCUUCGGAUUGUAAACCUCUUUCAGCAGGGAAGACAAAAGGACGGUACCUGCAGAAGAAGCCACGGCUAACUACGUGCCAGCAGCCGCGGUAAUACGUAGGUGGCAAGCGUUAUCCGGAAUUACUGGGUGUAAAGGGAGCGUAGGCGGGGAUGCAAGUUGGGUGGUAAAUCUACCGGCUCAACUGGUAGUCGCACUCAAAACUGCAGCUCUUGAGUGAAGUAGAGGCAGGCGGAAUUCCUAGUGUAGCGGUGAAAUGCGUAGAUAUUAGGAGGAACACCAGUGGCGAAGGCGGCCUGCUGGGCUUUUACUGACGCUGAGGCUCGAAAGUGUGGGGAGCAAACAGGAUUAGAUACCCCGGUA
rnacentral:rRNA from 1 species